UGCACUGGAAAUGCGCCAGCAAGCCCAUUGUUGACGCGUUUCUCGCGCAGGUUGGUCGAUUUUUCGCUUUUUGAGUUUAACGUGCGCUUGCAUUAUAGUAGAAUACUUCUGAAUUGCUAAAAACUCCUAAAAACCUAUCUGCACCGGAAAUGCGUCAGCAAACCCCACUGCUGGCGUGUUUCUCGUGCAGGUUAGUCGAUUUUUUGCUUUAUAAGAUUAAAAGGUGGUUAA
ensembl:ncRNA B0250.17 ncRNA